rnacentral:rRNA from 1 species
UACGAAGGUGGCAAGCGUUGUUCGGAUUUACUGGGCGUACAGGGAGCGUAGGCGGUUCGGUAAGCCCUCUGUGAAAUCUCCAGGCUUAACCUGGAACAGUCGGAGGGGACUGCUGGGCUAGAGGACGGGAGAGGAGCGCGGAAUUCCCGGUGUAGCGGUGAAAUGCGUAGAGAUCGGGAGGAAGGCCGGUGGCGAAGGCGGCGCUCUGGAACGUUUCUGACGCUGAGGCUCGAAAGCGUGGGGAGCAAACAGGAUUAGAUACCCUGGUAGUCCACGCCUUAAACUAUGAAUACUAAGUGUCGGCGGUUUACCGCCGGUGCCGCAGCUAACGCAUUAAGUAUUCCGCCUGGGAAGUACGGCCGCAAGGUUGAAACUUAAAUGAAUUGACGG